ensembl:lncRNA
ACAAAAAACAUAAACUGCAGUAAAAUAAAAGUCAUUUAAAAUUGAAUUAAAAAGCAAGAUCCUGUAGAAGAUAGCAUGGCAAUAUUAUCUAUUUAGAAUCACUAAACACAGGCAUAAAUCAAUACUUUGUAUCUCCAUGUUGGAGGGGCUUCCCACUCUUCAUUCUUGUGUUAUCUGUUUGGCGCUGUCCAUAAACUGUCUGUUUCUGGAGUCAAGCCAACCAGAUGCUCAUUGUAACUUAAAGGAAAAAAAUAGUUGUCUGUCUCUUUUUCAGUAACUAAUGGCAUAUUGUGAUUAAACCAUUUUUCAUUAGCUCAUUGUUCUGUUUCCCAGAUUUUAGCCAUAAUAAUUUGCAUGAAGGGAUCUUGUGAUGUGACAGGUAAAAGUUCUAAAUACAUAAAUUCCUUAUAACUAUUACUUUUCCAGGCAAUGCCAUCUCUGUCUGAAAAGCUGAACUAUCCAGAGAAGGCAUUUUUAGAUCUGUGUGUUCUACUUUCCCCUCUUGGGGUGUGUGGGGGAGGGAGGGUUGUGUUUUUUAAUGCUCUGUUAAGGCUUAGAAAGGGAGGACUAUAAAGAAUUUUGUGACCUGCUGUUUGAGAGCACGUGUACACACGUGUGUGUGUGUGUGUAUAUAUACACAAGAAAUAUAUGUGUGUACACGUGUAUGUGUACACACACACACACUGCUAAAACGUGGGGUUUUGGAUCCAUGCACGGUCCCGUGUUAACGCAGGGACCGCAUUACCAUGGAUUCCAAUGAUGGUAAUUAAAUUUGGGAUCCAUCCGCUGUCCCGCGCUAUAACCAAAUUUGCGCUAUAUGGACGCACAUUCUAGCAAGGGUCAGCUGUGUGUGGGAGGGAGAAUCACAAAUCAUGAUUUCAUGCUUAAGUAUAAUAAUCCUCCUUCUAGUUUCUUGAAGUCCUUAGUGAACAGCAGUCACUACUCAUUUAAAAGUGAAAUUCAAAUGGGUUGGAAUAUCAAAUCAUUAUUUUCUAGCAUUCAAAUAGUCCUUGACAUUUUUGCUCAUUUUUCAGCUUAUUUUCCCCAAACAGUGUAAAUAGUUAUCUUCAGUAUCUUUUCCUAUUUUCCUCUUAUUGCAAUGAAGAAUUCUCUCUUCAUUUUGUUAUUUUCUGUUUUUUAAACUGAAGGUAAAUCCCUCUGCAAAGAAACAGUUUUGUUAGUCUUGUCUAAUCUGUGAUUAAAACCUUGGGUUAGGAAAACCAGCUCCAUGGAGACCUGUGUGCAGUGGCUAGUUCAAAGGUUACCAAUAAUAAUGCUUACCAGCCAAAGCACUGUAUUGAAAUUAGCAAAUGUGCUUCACAGAUUUCAGCACUGACUUCAUAGCUGUGUUCACUUACUGUUUCCCUGUGGUUUAUCUAGUCAUGUAUCAGAUAUUUUCAGUACUCACUGCACUUUCAAUGAUGCAAGAAAUUUGGACUCAUGAAGUUCGGCUAACAGACAUGCGGCAAGAUCACUUUAUUUUGUAGUGUUGGUAAUGAGCAAUUUAAACUGCUAUACAGAGACAGGGUCUGGUUUGAGCAGGCAAACUCUUGCUUAACAUUCCCAAAUGUCUUUCAGUACUUGGGAGAGGUAGGAAAAUGAGGGCAAAGAACGAAAUGUUGCAUUGUUUUCUGUACAUUUGCACUUAUUCUAGCAAAUGGGCUCCCAGAUCAUCACUAAUGAGUGUGGUUAUUUCUCAUUUCAUAAAUUACUAUGCAGUUUGGUUCACUGUAUUAUCUAUAUUGAGUGAUUGCAAGAUACUUAUGCCACUGAUUUGAAUUCCGUCCAAGAUAAACUGAAGAAGUUAUUUGAAUAAUGCAUAUAUCGGUAUCCUUAACUGCAAAAAUGUAAAUUUGAAACUUGUAUAAUGUUAUUGUGCUUUUGAAAUAAAAUAUCUUGUAUAUGUAUAUUUAAAAGAGGA